UUGCUCAAUAAAGAAAUUAUAUAAAAAAAAAAAAUUCUUAGUUUCAACAUCUGAUUUGUUGUCUCACAGGGUCUAAAUUCUUUGCUCCAUUUACUGACAUUUUGCACAGCGUUCCAACUUCUUUGGAAAUGGGGUCGUAAAUGCAUGGCAAAACUAAAGAGCCUGUUGUUAAUCCUCUUAAUUUAAAAGUGUCAGGGUCAAAAUACCUGACUGGAGUGUGACUUCAGAAGCACAGGAAAUGACUCACUGAAUGUCACUCUGCACACUUUAUGAAAAACAGUUCAACUUUGCAUUAGCAGUGCACGGUUCAAUGCAUGUGAGUAUUUACAGCCCUGCAAACUUAAAACUUCAAGAACAAGAGGUGAUCUUCACAAUAACUGAACCACCAAAAUGAACUUCAUCAUCAUCCUAAUCUGGACGUUGAUUAAUUGCAUCCAAGGUUCCACAGGAGAAGUUACGGUGAAACAAACUCCUUCGGUGGCAUCUGUUUCCUCAGGAGAAAAUGUUAAUAUAGUCUGCUCUUUCAGUUACUAUACAACUGGUUGCAACCCUGACUGUCUGUCAUGGUACCUACAAAAGCCUGGAGAAGCUCCAAAGCUCCUUAUGUACGAAGUAAGUAAAGUUCAGUCUGGGACUCCAUCUCGGUUCAGUGGCAGAGGUUCUGGGAGAGACUUCACUCUGACCAUCACCGGAGUCCAGGCUGAAGAUAUGGGUGACUACUACUGUCUACUAUCAAGCACUGGUCCAGUGUACACUUUUGGUGGUGGAACGAGACUCGAUGUUGGACAUAUCACUUCUCCUAAACUCACAGUCCUGCCUCCCUCCACUGAAGAGCUAACAAAGGAGCACAGAGCUACGCUGAUGUGCUUCGCCAACAAGGGCUUCCCUUCAGACUGGAGCCUAAACUGGAAAGUAGACGGAAGAAGCAGAGCUCAGGAGGCCAGCCGUGAGGUCUUGCAGCAGGACGGCCUGUACAGCUGGAGCAGCACCCUGACUCUAACUCAGCAGGAGUGGGAAAGAGGGGUUUCAGUGCUGUGCGAGGCCACCCACAGCGGUGGGUCUGCCGUCAUAGAGGUCAGGGCAGAGCAAUGUGUUGCAUAGUGCGUUGUCCUUUACUUCUCUGAAUGCUUCAGUAUCCAAUCUAAACCGUUUUUUCUCUUAUCAGCUGUUCACUUUGCUUUUAGCAAACUGUAUUCAGGCUCUUCAUUAUGUAAUGCUGCUUUUGAUUUACUAAAUAUAAAUAAAGUCUUUGAUCCAUUAA